AGCAGUGUGGCUCAGUGGGAAGAGCUUGGGCUUGGGAGUCAGAGGUCAUGGGUUCUAAUCCUUGCUCCGCUG
rnacentral:tRNA from 1 species